rnacentral:rRNA from 1 species
AUUGAACGCUGGCGGCAGGCUUAACACAUGCAAGUCGAACGAGUGGCGGACGGGCGAGUAAUGCUUGGGAAUCUAGCUUAUGGAGGGGGCUAACUACGGGAAACUGUAGCUAAUACCGCGUACCAUAGGAUGAGCCCACGUGGGAUUAGGUAGUUGGUGAGGUAAAGGCUCACCAAGCCGACGAUCUCUAGCUGGUCUGAGAGGAUGACCGGCCACACUGGGACUGAGACACGGCCCAGACUCCUACGGGCGGCAGCAGUGGGGAAUAUUGCGCAAUGGAGGCAACCCUGACUCAGCCAUGCCGCGUGUAUGAAGAAGGCCUUAGGGUUGUAAAGUACUUUCGUCGGGGAGGCGUUACCCGCAGAAGAAGCACCGGCUAACUCCGUGCCAGCCGCCGCGGUAAUUC